UACGGAGGGGCUAGCGUUGUUCGGAAUUACUGGGCGUAAAGCGUACGUAGGCGGCUUUGUAAGUUAGAGGUGAAAGCCCGGGGCUCAACUCCGGAAUUGCCUUUAAGACUGCAUCGCUUGAAUCAUGGAGAGGUGAGUGGAAUUCCGAGUGUAGAGGUGAAAUUCGUAGAUAUUCGGAAGAACACCAGUGGCGAAGGCGACUCACUGGACAUGUAUUGACGCUGAGGUACGAAAGCGUGGGGAGCAAACAGG
rnacentral:rRNA from 1 species